rnacentral:rRNA from 1 species
CUGGAGGUAUCAGAAGUGCGAAUGCUGACAUAAGUAACGAUAAAGCGGGUGAAAAGCCCGCUCGCCGGAAGACCAAGGGUUCCUGUCCAACGUUAAUCGGGGCAGGGUGAGUCGACCCCUAAGGCGAGGCCGAAAGGCGUAGUCGAUGGGAAACGGGUUAAUAUUCCCGUACUUGGUGUUACUGCGAAGGGGGGACGGAGAAGGCUAUGUUGGCCGGGCGACGGUUGUCCCGGUUUAAGCGUGUAGGCUGGUUUUCCAGGCAAAUCCGGAAAAUCAAGGCUGAGGCGUGAUGACGAGGCACUACGGUGCUGAAGCAACAAAUGCCCUGCUUCCAGGAAAAGCCUCUAAGCAUCAGGUAACAUCAAAUCGUACCCCAAACCGACACAGGUGGUCAGGUAGAGAAUACCAAGGCGCUUGAGAGAACUCGGGUGAAGGAACUAGGCAAAAUGGUGCCGUAACUUCGGGAGAAGGCACGCUGACAC